rnacentral:tRNA from 5 species
UCCUCUGUAGUUCAGUCGGUAGAACGGCGGACUGUUAAUUCGUAUGUCACUGGUUCGAGUCCAGUCAGAGGAGCCA